rnacentral:tRNA from 1 species
GCGGACGUGGCGAAAUCGGUAGACGCAGCAGACUUAAAAUCUGCCGUCCUAGUGACAUGCGGGUUCAAGUCCCGCCGUCCGCA